rnacentral:lncRNA from 1 species
CACUCUUAUGGCCGGCCAAGCAAGGGAACAAAGAGAAAAAGAGAAGAACAAACCCUAGGAAAGAAAAAUUCAAGAGAAAUUGUUGGAUUUCAAGGAAUCAAGCAAGUAAAGGUAAGAUUUUUUAAUUUUAUCUUGUAAUCUACCUUUCCCAUGCAUUCGUUUUCAUUCUCCAUGGCUGAAAUUCAGGUUUUCAAGAGGGAACUUUUGCUGGCCAAAUCUAGAGAGAGAAGUUUUGGUGAAGAAUUUUGCUAGAUUUCAUAAUAUCCUAGUGUUUUUAGUCAUUUUGUGAUGUUUGGAAGGAAAAACAAGCAAGAAAAUCACAUGUUCUUCAAUAACCCUCAUUUGGCUGAAUUUUCUAUAGGGCAUGUUGAUGAUGGAUUUGGUUGUAAUUCAUGUUAUUUAGAUAGGAAUUGAUGAAUUAUGAUAUUGGAUAUCGAAAUCGGAAUGAAUUUCGGUUACGGUGAAUUAAGUCACAAUUAAGCUCAUUGAGGUACUUUGGUGUAUUUGGAAUAUUGGAAGUGUAAUGAAGAUAUUUGGAGUUGAAUUGGAUGUUUUGGCUAAUUAAACAAGGCAUAGUAUGAGUUAGGUCAAAUGCCAAUUUAGUCCGAUCAUAAUUGAACCCACAUAGAACAUCGUCUUUAAGUGAUUCUUUGGACAAUUCUCAUUCAAUGUCAUGCAUUCAUAUAGAGCCUGAAAUAGUUUUAUAAUAGUUUGACACAAAUAUAUUGAAUUACGUGUCGUGUAUUAUGUAUAGGUGGUGAGCCCUUUGAUAAGGAUAAAGAUAUUGUGCCCGAGGACCAAGAAUAAGAGCACUCCAAACUCUUACUAAUGUGAGUAAUCAGACUUUCAUCUUAACUAUCUAAAGUAAUUUAUACUCGUUUUUAUGAUUUUAAAGAAAAAUGAGUGUAAAUUGUAAAUUAUUAUGUGUUAAAAUUGAAGUGUUGGUUAAACGAAAUGAGAUUUAUAACUAUUUUGAAAUUGAAUACUGGUUUUGGAAAUUGAGUAAGUGGAGACUGUAUACUUGUGUUAUAUAUAUGUUUUGACAUAUGGUUUGCAUUGAUGGCUUAUGACAAUGUGAUGGCACGCAUGGUUGGAUUUGUGUUUGUGUGGAAUAUAUGAACUGUUUUGCUUUACCUUGAUAGGCUGGUAAUAUUAUAUUAGCCAUGUCAUGUUGUCGAAAAUUUUAUUGAAUUGGUGGGUUAUUUGAUUAGCUUACUGCAAUGGGCGAGUUUUCGUGAACCAGCCUAUUGAGGGGCACGGUAAACUCGGUUAUAUUUUACCUUGGUACGAGAGGCGCGGAGGGUAUCUCCUAAGGUAACGUUAGAGUUCACCUCACGUCGAACCACCACGUGAGGGUGAAACUCAGCCAACGACAAGGAAUGGCUGUGCUUUUAAAUGUAAAAGAAAAAUGAGUUUUAUACUCAUAUGUUAUUUUAUCAGCCUUGGUGGACUCGGUUGGAUGCCUCGGCGUAAGGUGUCACCGAGUGUAAAUUUUUGGCACGAGCCAAGUUUUUACGAGAAUCAUAAGCCUUGUUGAUUUUUAUGAAAUGAAAUUGAUUUAUAUGAAAUGAAAUGAGAUUUGAUGUUAUGAAUCAUAUUUUGAUAAGAUAUUUUAAAUUGUCUCCAUUUACUCGACUUUAGAUGUUUUAGAUGAAAUUUGCUUACUCACUAGGUUUAUAAAAACUCACCCCUUCUUUUUACCCAUUUCAAGCUCAGGAUAGUCUGUAGACAGCCGAUUUUGUCGAUGGUUACUUUUGGAUUUGCAUCCUUAGAAAUUGAAGGUCUACAGUCUUGUAUGUUUUCGAUUAUUUUGGGGCUUACAUGUCAUUAUAGAAUAUUUUUGUAUACCUGGUUUAGUGUGCUAUUAUAUAUAUAAAUUUAUUUUGCUCUUACGCUACAAAAAUUGUUUAUGCAAGAUUCUAUAAAUAUUGUUUUGUAAGAAAAUAAAAUAUUUUUAUUUAAUAUUUUUAUUUAGUUUGAUUAGCCAUAAUUUCACUUCAAAUGGAUGAUGUAGACAACUAAACUUAUUUUUAGAUAUGAAAUGUAUAUUUUUCAUUUAUAUAUUAUAUUUUUAACAGGUUUUGAAAUUUGUAAGUAAAAUGACCAAAAUACCCCUAUGCAGUAGAAAUUACUUUUUGAUCGUUUUGAUUUGAAAAUAGUCUAUAUUCUUUCAAAACAUGAUAUUUAGUAACUGUUGCUCACAGGGGAGAAGUAAAAUUGAUGCAAGAACCUUGCGAGGGUUCGGUUGGCACUCCGGGUAAGGAAUGUCUAUCGAGACAUCGCGACGGUUGUCACGGGCUCGAAGGGAGUACUGGGUCGUGACAAUAUCCAUCCACUUUCGAUAGAUAAAAGUAUCCUUAGAAUAGUGAUUAGUGUAAUCACAAUGAUUGCAAUUAUUAUGGCAAUCUUUUCCACUUCCAUGACCAUAAUUAUUAAAUUA